rnacentral:rRNA from 1 species
GAGUUUGAUCGUGGCUCAGGACGAACGCUGGCGGCGUGCUUAACACAUGCAAGUCGAACGGAGCAUUUUGGAAUGAGGUUUCGGCCAAAGGAAGGAAUGCUUAGUGGCGGGACUGGUGAGUAACGCGUGAGGAACCUGGCCUUUCAGUGGGGGACAACAGUUGGAAACGACUGCUAAUACCGCAUGACACAUUUGGGUGGCAUCACUUGAAUGUCAAAGAUUUAUCGCUGAAAG